rnacentral:rRNA from 1 species
AUUGAACGCUGGCGGCAUGCCUUACACAUGCAAGUCGAACGGCAGCACGGGGCAACCUGGUGGCGAGUGGCGAACGGGUGAGUAAUGCAUCGGAACGUACCUUUCAGUGGGGGAUAACGUAGCGAAAGUUACGCUAAUACCGCAUAUUCUGUGGGCAGGAAAGCAGGGGAUCGCAAGACCUUGCGCUGAUUGAGCGGCCGAUGUCAGAUUAGCUAGUUGGUGAGGUAAAGGCUCACCAAGGCGACGAUCUGUAGCGGGUCUGAGAGGAUGAUCCGCCACACUGGAACUGAGACACGGUCCAGACUCCUACGGGAGGCAGCAGUGGGGAAUUUUGGACAAUGGGGGCAACCCUGAUCCAGCCAUGCCGCGUGAGUGAAGAAGGCCUUCGGGUUGUAAGGCUCUUUCGGCCGGGAAGAAAUCGCACGGGCUAAUACCCUGUGUGGAUGACGGUACCGGAAUAAGAAGCACCGGCUAACUGCGUGCCAGCAGCCGCGGUAAUAC